UGACUGCCUGUGUGAGUGUGUGACUGCCUGUGUGUGAUUGUCUGUGUGAGUGUGUGACUGCCUGUGUGUGAUUGUCUGUGUGAGUGUGUGACUGCCUGUGUGUGAUUGUCUGUGUGAGUGUGUGACUGCCUGUGUGAGUGUGUGACUGCCUGUGUGUGAUUGUCUGUGUGAGUGUGUGACUGCCUGUGUGAGUGUGUGACUGCCUGUGUGUGAUUGUCUGUGUGAGUGUGUGACUGCCUGUGUGUGAUUGUCUGUGUGUGUGACUGCCUGUGUGUGAUUGUCUGUGUGUGUGACUGCCUGUGUGUGAUUGUCUG